ACGGAGGGUGCGAGCGUUGUCCGGAAUCAUUGGGCGUAAAGGGCGCGUAGGUGGCCCGGUCAGUUCGUGGUGAAAGCGCGGGGCUCAACCCUGCGUCGGCCAUGAAUACUGCCGCGGCUGGAGCACUGUAGAGGCAGGCGGAAUUCCGGGUGUAGCGGUGGAAUGCGUAGAGAUCCGGAAGAACACCGGUGGCGAAGGCGGCAUCCUGGACCGACAUUGACGCUGAGGCGCGAAAGCCAGGGGAGCAAACGGGA
rnacentral:rRNA from 1 species